UACGUAGGGGGCAAGCGUUAUCCGGAUUUACUGGGUGUAAAGGGAGCGUAGACGGCGGGGCAAGUCUGGAGUGAAAGGCCGGGGCCCAACCCCGGGACCGCUCUGGAAACUGCCCGGCUGGAGUGCGGGAGAGGUAAGCGGAAUUCCUAGUGUAGCGGUGAAAUGCGUAGAUAUCAGGAGGAACACCAGUGGCGAAGGCGGCCUACUGGGCUUUAACUGACGCUGAGGCACGAAAGCGUGGGUAGCAAACAGG
rnacentral:rRNA from 1 species